GCUGGAACAGUAAGCAGUUGAAAACAUCACAUCUUAAGACUGAGAUGUUCAUUACUGUGAUAUUUGGUGAGGGAAGAGAGGAGAUACUGAACCUAAACUGCAAGGUUAUAAACUUCAUCCACUGUAUAAAAGAAAAAUGCAAUCUAGAUCCCCAAGAGACUGUGGACUUGAUGGACAGGAUGGGAGAGCUGGUGAACUUGGCAGAGAGAGCACAGAGCACCGACCUCGUCAGCAGUUUGCUGAAGGAGAGAGAGAGCUAUAUUCCAUUACGUGUAUCACGAGGUGAAGGCAGUGAAGGUCCAAAGUAUACUGCAGUGUAUGACUUUGGGACAAGUUACCCUGAGCUAGCAGGCAAUGCUUCUAUUUUUCAUUCAUUAAUCUAUAAUUUAUUAAAAAGGAAAAAUUUGUUAUCAAGAAAAACACUCCAUGCUGCUUCUUUUCAUUGUAUUGUUAUUUUAAAGGAUUUUCCCACCAAUCUAAUGAAAAUAAAAUGUACG
rnacentral:lncRNA from 1 species